rnacentral:lncRNA from 1 species
AAAGGAAUGUGUUGGCAAGGCUGGCAUCCCUGUCCUCUCAGGGGUGUAAACGGCUUUCCUGCUCCCACAGGUUCAAAGAGCACUUCAUUUCACAGAAAAAGUACAGCUAAUAAGAAACAGAUUCUCUGGCUCUGGCCACAGCUCUGAGAGCCCAGGAGGCAAAGGAAAGCCCCCCAAAACCUGGAUGUGACUGUCUGCACUGCAGGGCCUUCUCACCCCACCUCUUUGGAGCCACAGAGCUGUCUCAACAGCAGAAAAGAGGGGUUGCUGAGAGGUGGGGGUGAGUGCAAAGCAGAGUCCACAUAAAUGAUUGAGAAGAGCCUUGGGGAAGGGGACUUCUGAGCUGUGGUCCUUCUAAUCACUCAGGCUGAGUCUUUUCUUUUAGGCCUGGAAACUAAGUUAGACAACACCUUAUUAUAAGAACAGUAACUUCCUUGUUCUGGGAGUUGCAGAAUACCAGCUGUAGCAUGGCACAGUGGGAAGGCCAUUGGUUUUGAGGCGGCAAGACCCGGUUUGUGGUCUCCGGGCCUUAGUCUUCUCAGCUUUCCAGUGAGCACACUGGUAGUGAUCACUGAGAAUACCCAUGCUGCUAUCCAUCAUGCAAUAAAACAAACACCAUGUUGAGGCCCAGGGGACCUGGGUUCUAGCCUUGGUUCUCCUCCACAUACACCCUGGGCAAUGCAGGCUGGGGCAAUGAGUCUUGGAUGACAAAAAAGGCCUAACCUCAAAUCCUGGCUCUUCUCACUUUGUGAGUAGUGCUUGGGUGAGUCACUUAGCAUCUCUGAACCUCUACUUCCUCAUCUGUAACCAGCACCAAUACAGCGAACCUCAUUGGCCUAGGGGGAGGAUUAUGAGAAGAGAUACCUAAACUACAAAAAAUAGCACUUAGUGGAUGCUUGAAGAUAAGGCUGGAGCCUGGUUUUCCCCAAGGUUUGUCACCAAACCAGAGGACAAAUCCAGGCUGGAUCCAUGGCCGAACAAUACGAUAAAGGUAACAUAGUAGAGUGAUUGUGGUGUCCCAUGUUCUGUUAUCAGAAUCUUACUCUAUCCUCACAAAAAGUACAUGGGGCAAGGACUGCUGUUUUCCUUAAAUAAUUGGAACCAGGACAUAAACAGAAAAGGAUAGACUCCAGAAGAUGUGCUAAGUCAUUCCUCUGUCCUUCAAAGCUUCUUGUAGGCUUCACCCCUCUCCUCUGAGUGCCUGCCUACCUGCUGGAGCUCAGACUCUAUCCAACCUUCCAUGGGCUCUAAGUGUCCAACCUGGAUGGCUCUCUGAUUUCCUUUGCCCUGCUUUCUCUCCAUAGUGUUAGAAGAAAUAUUUCCCUCAUUUAUCAAAUGUUUCUUGAAACCUACUGUGUGCUGGGCAUUUGUGAUACCAUAGUGAACAGAAUAGAAAAAGAAAAAUCCCUGUCCUCAUGGAGCUUAUAUUCUGAAGGGGCAGUAGGGGAUAAAAUAAACAGAUAGACAAGGGAAAUUUUUUCAUUUUUUAAAUGAUUUUUAUUUUUUCCAUUAUAGUUGGUUUACAGUGUUCUGUCAAUUUCUACUGUACAGCAAAGUGACCCAGUCACACAUAUAUAUACAUUAUUUUUCUCACAUUAUCCUCCAUCAGAUUCCAUCAUAAGUGACUAGAUAUACCCUGUGCUAUACAGCAGGAUCUCAUUGCUUAUCCACUCCAAAUGCAACAGUUUGCAUCUGUGAACCCUACACUCCCGGUCCAUUCCACUCCCUCCCUCUCCCUGACAAGGGAAAAUAUUAAACAUCAAGUCACAGUUUCACUGGGAUUAGUUUAUCAAGGAUUAGUAAGAUACUUAAAGUACUUUGGUUCUUACAAUAUUCAUUAUAAUAUUAAACACUAACUAUGUACCAGACAUUAUGCUAGGAACUGAGAUUAAAAUGAUGAAUAACACGUAUGCCUUGCCUUUGGUGAAGUCCUAUUCUGGAAAGAGGAAUAGGCAUAUUAAAUGAUUUUAACAUAUGGUGCUAAGAACUGUUUUGGAGAAAUUUCUUCCAGUACCUCAAAAAGGAGAUGAGGGAAGAACUAGGAGCCUGAAAAAGGCUUCAUAGAGAAGGCAACAUCCAAGCUUGCAACCAGACAGAAAUGUAGGGACUUCCUGGAAAUAAUAGGCAAAAAUAUGCACAGAAUAUUUGGAAAAACAGAUUUCACAUUCCCAUGUAAGUGAAGAACUGGGUGAAUGAAGGAGAGGGAUGAAACUGGAGAGUAUCACAGUAACUCUGGGUGUUAUCAAGUAAGUGAUGAAGAUUAAUAGGAUAUUUCUAAGUAAGAGCAAGACCCAACCAUACAUGUAUUUUACUUAUGCAUCUUCCUCUUCACUAAUCCUUUCUUCAGCUGUGUCUAUACUGUUAGACCUAUAUUUUUGGUGCUUAAUAUGAGUAAUUUCAUCUUAUUGCUCUGGAAUUUCCAGUUGAUUUUUUUUUUGUCAGUUUUGUUUCUCUAUAAAAAUUUUCCAUCUUUUCCUCUAUUUUCUUUUUUUUUCUUUUUCUUUCCUUCUUUUUUUUUUUUUUUUUUUUUUGCCAUAUCUGUGGCACACAAAAGUUUCUGGGCCAGGAACUGAACCAGCACCACAGCAGUGACAACACUAGAUCCUUAACAACUAGGCCACCAGGAAACUCCUCUUCUAUUUUCUAUUUUCUUGAACAUAGUAAGUAUUUUCACAAUCUGUGGUUGAUGACACCACCAUAUGUUUCACCUGUGAAUCUGUUUAUAUUUUCUACCUUUGCUUUUGUUUUUUUCAGUCCUUUGGUCUUGUCUCCCAGUGUGCUUACUUUGGGUCAGCUGUGCACCAGUGGCCAUCUCUUGUUCAAAGAAUAGCCUAGAGUUUUUUCCCCUGGCAGAGCAUUGAGGGGAGGACAGAAUUCUCCCAAAGGGCAGAGGAGGCAUAGCAGACAUCAUCUGGAGAAUCUCCGGAGAGUUUCUGAUAGUGAGGGCAGGAUGGCAAGGAGGAUUUCAGAAAGAGGAUAUGGAAGAAUGUGGGUGACAGGGGUGUGACUCUCCAGCCUGGGCCCCCUCCAUAGUAACCGCCUCCUAGCCAGACUGGGAGCAGUACGGCAUCAAUCACUUUCCACUCCGCCCUGCUCCAGCUGGGAAAGACAUCCUGGCUGUGUAAACUAACCUUAUGAGUCUAAUUCCAAGAAGGCCAAGGAAUUUGACAGGAAACAACACAAGCUAGUCUCCUUAGAUCUUUGUCUGGGCUUGACGUGAUUGGGUCUGAAAUAGCUACAGAGAACCUCAUUAUUAAACGUUUUAAACCCACAAAAAUACACACACUUUUGCAUGCACAAACAGGAAGGUUUAAGACAAGGCCACCAAAAGGGUGAGGCCAUACAGGCCCCCACACAGGAACUGAAACCAAAGCUUCGAUUUCAAGUCAGAUCCCUGGUUCUGGAGGAUUGUUUGACAGGCCUUGUCACUCACAUUCUGAAAAUCUGUCUCCACAGCCAAGAAUCCUUCAUAGCUGUCCCCACUCUCCAUCUUGACUGUUCUUAUGUGUUUGAGGAGGCUCAGAGGUGGCUGUUUUCUAACGCAGAGUGAGCCAUCUCUGCCAAGAGCUUGUCUUGCCAAUCGCUUCCUUGGCCUCAGCCCUCAGCUUGCCCAAGUCUGACAUCACUCUUCCCCCCCAUCGACACCUCCAGAAUAAAGAGCCGCCACUGAGACUAUGACUUGCCAGACCUGGUCACACUCUGUCUCAGGUGUUUCUAGCCGACAGCUUUCAGAGUGGCGGAAUCCUGCACAGCCAUGCGUACAGCCCUCGUUGCUAAGGAUGGCCUAGAGACCCCAGAUCUCCUCUGCUGGGGGGAUGAUCAUCUGGUUAGGGAGGAAUGGAUGAUGUCGGGUCCUGGUCCCCCAAAGCCUGAGGGGUCCCAGCCCUCGUGCAGCUAGGAGCGUCAAGGAUCCUCACAAAGAGUCUUUGCCUUUGCUGAGUCUGGAAUGAGUCCCGCUUUGGUGCUGAGGUAGACAGCAGGUAUCUAAUCAUGGGCUCAAGGAUCUGAUCUGGCUGAGUUCACCUACUGCUGCUGCUCUUAGCUCUAUGUCCGUGGGCACAUUGCUCCAUUCUUUAUCUCUUCUUUCAUUAUGUAAUAUGGAGACAGUUACAUCCUAGGGUUCUGUCAGGAUUAAAUGAAUUGAUACAUGUAAAUUUCUUAGAACAGUCCUAGGAUUGAAGAGUGGUCAGUGAGUAAUAGCAGGAGAGGCAAAUGUGAAGUUAGUAGUUAACGAAUACGGAGCUUCAGUUUAUGGAGAUGAAAAGCUCUGAAACUAGAUGGUGGUGAUGUUUACAUAUCUUAAUGCCACUGAACUGCACACCCAAAAAUUUUUUUAGUGGUAAAUCUCGUGUAUAUGUUACCAUACUUUUUUUUAAAAAGUAACAGCUAUUAUUAUUACCUCAUGGGGUCACCUUCAGCUACUCAUGGAGCUUUAGGGCAACUUGGCCACCUGGAAGUAGGAAAGGCCUUUUGCCCCAGCAUGGAGUUUAGGUUCUAUACUGUGCUCUCCAGCACUUUCUCCCACUGAAGAGAAUUAAACUCUUAAGUCCUGCAUGACUUCUGCCAAGGAACCUCGUUACCUGGGGAGUUCUCCGAAUGAUAGACAGACACACAGACAUAUCAAAGAGUUGGACACAUGGAAACAUGCCCCAGGAGACAGACAGGAAAGGCCACCGAAGGGAUGAUCUAGGAGAGAACCUUGGUCUCCGGAGAUGGGUGCUUCAACUGCUCCAGGUGAGACCUUGAGUAAAACUGGAUAGAGUCGGGGAGGAGUUGCCAACCACACUCUCAUUAUAUGGUCCAGGUCUUGGCUCAGGCUUCACCCGUCUUGCAGCCUGUCUCUCCUCUAAUCCUCUCCAAAACCUCACAAGCCUUCCCAGGCUCUCAGGCUUGGAUAAGAGCCACCUCCUGCAGAGGGCUCCCCAUGCAACUCCAGCCCUCCCCAGGCUCUGCACUGAGCAUCACAGCCUCAGUCUAUUACUCAGUUCUAGCUCAGUUGUUGUUCACCAAUUCUUUUGUGUGUGUCAGUUGUAUCUCCUCUUUAAAGAUGGGAGCUCUGGCUGCACUCCUCACCUCACACACUGCCCCUAAUUGUGCAGACCACACUUCCACUUUCUUAAACGAUGGCAAAUUGAUGAAUUUUUAGAAAAAAAAAUGUAUGAGUUCUUUCCCAUCAGUAGUUCCUAAAGUAUGCUUUCAAGAAUACCAGUUGCAUAGAAUAUCAAGAGAUAUUAUGAGAAAAGAGGGUUCCAUAAUCUAAUAUAUUUGAGAAACACUGAGAUAAAUAAAAAUAAAUAGGUUUAUUUAUUGCAGGACACAUCAGAGACUAGGAUGUGGUAACAAUUACUUUAGCAAUGUGCUGAGGCAGCUCUCACCUGUUCAAGAGAGCCAGUUCUGCGCAUCUCUUCCCAAGUCACAUUCAUUCAUGCAACAUAGGUAACUUGAAAUUGGCCAUAAUGGGAGUAUUUACACCACAGAAAUCAGCAAACACUGCAAAUGUGACUGUUUUUUUCUUUUUUCAAAGAGCUGGUUUAUUUGCACAUACUGAAUAUCACUUCAAGACAAGACUAUAGCAUGUAGGUUUUCCUAGUACAUUUAACUUUCUCAUCUUGUGGGAAGUAUUUUGAAGGAAGUAGUACUCCACAGAACAUCCUUUGGGGAACAUUGCCCUAUGCAAAGAUACUUUAAGUAAAUGCCAAGGGGGAAGAGUGAGAGGAACUUAGAUUAACUGAGCAUCUGCUAUGUGCCUGGCAAGAUGCUGGCUCUUUAUGUACGUUAUUUUAUUUAAUGUUCACAAUGACACUGGAAAGAGAUACAAUAGUACCCACAUUUUACAAAUGAAGAAAAAGAUCAAAGAAUUUUCUCAACUUCACAUGAUGAGUAGUCAGGUCAUGAGCUGUCUUUAGAAUCUGGUCAUUUACAGUUGACAGAGAUACUUGUAGAAAAUAACAAAAAAGUUUUAAGAAAAGAAAAUUUUCUUAAAAAGUUAGAAAAGUUACUAAAAAUCCUAUCUCGUCUUCUUCCUAUUUAUCAUCUGCCAUGGGUAAAAUGUCCUGGAUUUCAGAAUCUCCUGGGCACUUUUUAAAAUUGCUGGUGCCUGAGCUUCGCCCCUCCCCAGGGCAUUUCUAUUCCGUAUCCAGGAUCAAGAACCACUGAAAAUGAUAAAGACUCUGACAGGAGUUCCCGUCGUGGCGCAGUGGUUAACGAAUCCGACUAGGAACCAUGAGGUUGCGGGUUCGGUCCCUGCCCUUGCUCAGUGGGUUAACGGUCUGGCGUUGCCGUGAGCUGUGGUGUAGGUUGCAGACGUGGCUCGGAUCCUGCGUUGCUGUGGCUCUGGCGUAGGCCGGUGGCUACAGCUCCGAUUCAACCCCUAGCCUGGGAACCUCCAUAUGCCGCGGGAGUGGCCCAAGAAACAGCAACAACAACAACAAAAAGACAAAAAAAAAAAAAAAAAAAAAAAAA